AUUUAUGGCCACACCUCACUUAAGGCCCCCGAUCUCAUCUCACAAGCUAAGCAGGGUCAGGCCUGGUUUGUACUUGGAUGGGAGAUAAGUACAGCUGUUAGUAGCUUUUAUGC
rnacentral:rRNA from 1 species